AUGGACCUCCUUUUCCUGGAGAAGCUCCUCGUCGGCCUCUUCGCGUCCGUGCUGGUCGCCGUCGCCGUGUCCAAGCUGCGCGGUCGCAAGCUCAGGCUGCCGCCCGGCCCUGUGCCGGUGCCCAUCUUCGGCAACUGGCUCCAGGUCGGGGACGACCUCAACCACCGCAACCUAGCGGCGCUGGCCCGCAGGUUCGGAGAGAUCUUCCUCCUCCGCAUGGGCCAGCGCAACGUGGUGGUGGUCUCCUCCCCGGCUCUCGCGCGCGAGGUGCUCCACGCGCGGGGAGCCGAGUUCGGCUCCCGCGGCCGGAACGUGGUGUUCGACGUCUUCACCGACGGGGGCCAGGACAUGGUGUUCGCGGCGUACGGCGACCACUGGCGCACGAUGCGCCGCGUCGGCAAGGUGGUGCAGCGGCACCACGCAGGAUGGGAGGCCGAGGCAGCGGCCGUCCUCAUGAUGUACAACAACAUGUACAGCCUCAUGUUCGGCCGGCGGUUCGAGGGCCUGGACGACCCCCUGCUCCUCCGCCUCAGGGAGCUCAACGGCGAGCGCAGCCGCCUCGCGCAGAGCUUUGAGUACAACUACGGCGACUUCAUCCCCGUCCUGCGCCCGUUCCUCCGUGGCUACCUCAAGAUCUGCAAGGAGGUCAAGGACGCCCGCCUCAAGCUCUACAAGGAUUGCUUCGUCGAGGAGAGGAGGAAGAUGCUGGCGAGCGGCAAGGCCACAGACAGCCAUGAGCUCAAGUGCGGCAUGGAUGAGAUCCUGGAGGCGCAGCGCAAGGGCGAGAUCAACGAGGAUCACGUGCUCUUCAUCGUCGAGAACAUCAACGUUGCCGACGACGCUGUGGGCAAUGGAGUGGGCGGUGGCCGAGUGAACCACCCGGAGACCCAGCAGAAGCUGCGGCGUGAGAUGGACAGGGUGCUGGGAGCCGGCCACCAGGUCACCGAGCCGGACACGCACAGGCUCCCCUAA
rnacentral:rRNA from 1 species